rnacentral:rRNA from 1 species
GCGUGCUAAUACAUGCAAGUAGAACGCUGAAGAGAGGAGCUUGCUCUUCUUGGAUGAGUUGCGAACGGGUGAGUAACGCGUAGGUAACCUGCCUUGUAGCGGGGGAUAACUAUUGGAAACGAUAGCUAAUACCGCAUAACAAUGGAUGACACAUGUCAUUUAUUUGAAAGGGGCAAUUGCUCCACUACAAGAUGGACCUGCGUUGUAUUAGCUAGUAGGUGAGGUAACGGCUCACCUAGGCGACGAUACAUAGCCGACCUGAGAGGGUGAUCGGCCACACUGGGACUGAGACACGGCCCAGACUCCUACGGGAGGCAGCAGUAGGGAAUCUUCGGCAAUGGGGGCAACCCUGACCGAGCAACGCCGCGUGAGUGAAGAAGGUUUUCGGAUCGUAAAGCUCUGUUGUAAGUCAAGAACGAGUGUGAGAGUGGAAAGUUCACACUGUGACGGUAGCUUACCAGAAAGGGACGGCUAACUACGUGCCAGCAGCCGCGGUAAUACGUAGGUCCCGAGCGUUGUCCGGAUUUAUUGGGCGUAAAGCGAGCGCAGGCGGUUUGAUAAGUCUGAAGUUAAAGGCUGUGGCUCAACCAUAGUUCGCUUUGGAAACUGUCAAACUUGAGUGCAGAAGAGGAGAGUGGAAUUCCAUGUGUAGCGGUGAAAUGCGUAGAUAUAUGGAGGAACACCGGUGGCGAAAGCGGCUCUCUGGUCUGUAACUGACGCUGAGGCUCGAAAGCGUGGGGAGCGAACAGGAUUAGAUACCCUGGUAGUCCACGCCGUAAACGAUGAGUGCUAGGUGUUGGAUCCUUUCCGGGAUUCAGUGCCGCAGCUAACGCAUUAAGCACUCCG